AUGGCGUCCUCCUCCGAUGAGCAGCCCAAGCCGCCCGAGCCUCCCGCGGCCGCCGUGGCUGUGGCCACCGCCGCGCCGCAGUCCCACGCAGAGUGGGCCGCCUCGAUACAGGCGUUCUACGCCUCCGGGGGGCAUCCCUACGCCGCCUGGCCCGCGCAGCAGCUGAUGGCGGCGGCGGCGGCCUCAGGGACAUCGUACGGCGCGCCGGUGCAGUUCCCCAUGUACCACCCGGGGGCCGCGAUGGCGUACUACGCCCACGCGUCCAUGGCCGCGGGUGUUCCUUACCCGACUGCUGAAGCUGUUGCUGCUGCCGCAGCUGCGCCAGUUGUGGCAGAAGGAAAGGGCAAGGCUAAGGGCGGUGACGUGUCUCCUGAGAAGGGCAGUUCUGCUGCGCCCUCUGGCGACGACGCUUCGCAGAGCUGUGGGAGCGGCAGUGACGAGUCUUCAGACACGAGAGAUUAUGACACUGACCAAAAGGAUUCGUCUGCACCUAAGAAGAGGAAAUCUGGUAAUACCUCAGCGGAAGGUGAACCGUCUCAAGCUGCUGCUGUUCCAUAUGCUGCUGUCGAGUCACCGUAUCAGUUGAAGGGGAGGUCUGCCUCAAAGCUUCCAGUUUCUGCGCCUGGGCGGGCAGCACUUCCCAAUGCCACGCCAAAUCUGAACAUAGGGAUUGAUCUUUGGAGUGCUUCUCAAUCCUUAGCUGUGAUCCCAGUGCAGGGGGAAGCAAAUCCUGGCUUGGCGCUUGCCCGAUGUGAUGGUGUUGGUCAGCUGGAUGAGCGUGAAAUUAAGAGGGAGAGGCGAAAACAAUCUAAUAGGGAGUCUGCGAGGAGAUCAAGGUUACGCAAGCAGCAAGAGUGCGAGGAAUUAUCCAGGAAGGUUGCUGAGCUGACAACUGAGAACAACGCCCUCAGAACUGAGCUUGACCAGCUUAAGAAGGCCUGUGAAGAUAUGGAAGCACAGAAUGCACAACUAAUGUCUCAGGAACCUGCUGCGGUCACAACCACACUGGGCAUGAGCAUCGCAGCGCCCAAAGUGCAGCAGCACGAUGAUGAGGGUAAACUUCAUAAGAAGGCUAAUAAUAACAGCAACGGGAAGUACGUAGGUGGCAGCCACAAACUGGAGGCUAACCCUAGGUGA
rnacentral:rRNA from 1 species